AUGGCGAGCCACACCGGCAUCACUGCCACCGCGGCGGUGACGAACCUGCGCAAUGCCAUCCUAAACGGCAAACACGGGACUCCGCCGCCGACGGGAACGCCGGAGCACCGCGAUUACGCCGUAAUCACUAUGAAUCUCGAGCGGAGAAAUCCACCGCAGAGGAGAGAGGGGAAAAUGCAGGGAGGAAUGUCAGCGCGGGGAGGAGCAUUACCUUCAAGCUGCGGGCACUCCGGCGUAGACUCUCUGGUCCGGCGAGCCUCACCGACGGCCGCGAAUGCCGUCGACUCUUCCGCCUCCGCCGCCUCCUCCUCCUAUCGGCUUCUCCUCCAAUCGAAUGAACUGCUGCGGAUGGUGGGUUGGGUGAGUAGAGAAGUGGGGGGAGUAAAUGGAACCGCGCACGAUGGGGGUGUGAAGUAUGCCGUGCUAGACGCCUGUCAUCCUCAAUGGUGGCAGUUCCCGGAGUCCUCAACGGAGGCAGUUCCAGCUCAGACCUCGACGGCAGCGCCCGUAGACCUCAAGCGGAUCCUGCCGCUCACCCCGCACGGUGCUGUGCUCCACGACAAGCCGACGCGCCGCUCUGUGCCUUCUGCCAUGUGCGGUCCUGAUCUGACCGCCACGGGCCCCGCGUGGCAAUCAGGCCUCGCUGGCGCGCGGAUCCGGCCGUUGCCUUCCCUGCUGUGCGCCACUCCCCGCCGGUCGCUGCAUCCCCCUACAGAGUCAGAGCACGACUGCGCCUCCCCUUGUCUCCCGCUGGCGGUCGCACUCCUUCCAGGCUCCGGCUUCCGGCGCACGCCGCUGCGGGCCGGUUCGGCGAAGAGCGGGCCGACGAGAGCGCCUGGGAGGGUGUCGCGGAGGCAUCAAAGCAGUAGCUUCUCAACCGCGGGGAGACAUCUCGACGGCGACCUCGAUUUGCUAGCAUGUCCGAGCAGGAGGGUCCUGGACAUCCCUGCAAGCUGGCUCAUCCAGCUGGUUGUCUUCCUCGGCGAGCGCGCCAUCUCCAUGGUCCUUCGGGCGCGGCGCUCGUCAGCGAACUGCUCACCAUCCCUGCGGCCAUGGCGUCCCUCGCCCAGCACGGCGCUCGUAGGCGAGCUACGCGCUGUCCCUGAGGCCGCAGCUUCCGUCGCCCGGCGAGGCGCUCGUGGGCGAGCUGUGGGCCCUCCCUCCUCGGCGGUCACCUUCGUGGCCCAGUUUGCCGCGUUUGCCGCGUCCCUGAGCUUCGUCCCACACAUUAAGUUGGCUUCUGUUGUUGGAAGAAGACUUGAUUUCGGCCUGUCAUCGUGCCUACGGAUGGUUGCAGUGAGGCAUUUGAGGCUGGGCGCCCUAUCUUCAUACCAAUGGGUGAUUGAAGUGAGGCAUUUGAGGUUGGGUGUCCUGUCAUCGUGCCAGUGGGUGGUUGUACUAAGACAUUGUGGGCUGGGUGUCCAGUCAUCGUACCAACGGAUGGCUGCAUUGAGGCUGGGUGUCCUGUCAUCGUACCAAUGGAUGGCUGCACUGAGGCAUUUGGAGCUGGGUGUCCUCUCAUCGAUUGGGAGAAGACAGUUGGGUCAGAGAAAAAGGAAGAACGCAAUGGAAACAAGAUGGCUUACAUUUGGGGGAUCUAAUUCCUCAUUGGUUCCGGCAAGAAUUGGUGAAGAAGCCAUCAAAGAAAGUCCGGAGCGGACGAUUUUAAUUAAGAGACGGAGCGGCCGGUUUUGUUUGAUUGCUGGGUUUUUAAGGGAAAAGGAGGGCAGCAGCGGGGGCCGUUGGAUGAGCGCGGAGCGCGGAGCACGGAUGGGAGCAUUCUCGGGGAGCAGGCAAGCCCCGUGCGUUCGGGAGAGGAUUGGAGGUUGCGUCAUUGUAGGUUUUUUUUCUGGGAUCGAUUGUAUGUUGCGGGAUAAGUGCGGAGGCGGAUGA
rnacentral:rRNA from 1 species